GAAAAAAAAAGAAAAGAAACAGAGGACGAAGACCCCCAAUGGGAAUCUUCUUCUUCCCUAUGUCCGAUUAGGAGUAGGACUCCCAAGGCCACUGAAAAAUCUUGGAAAGACUCCUAUAAAUCUCCCCUUCUCCCCCUUCAUAGCUAGCCGCAACAAGCCUUGCGAUCUCCCUCUUCUUCCUCUCAAAAUUUCUCGUUGAAGCUCUCAAUCCUGUUCUUGUGUUUGCCUUAAUUUCUCGUCGGAGACCUCACUGGAGUCGAAGGUAAGCCCCGAUCCUCCUUCCUCUCUUUUUUUUCUUUCUUUUCAUGGCUUCGCACACCCUCGUCGAUUGUCGGGAUAGUUGGAAACCUCAUGAAAAGGGGUGGUCCUAUUUUUCUUCUGUUCGAUCGAGCCUUUCUUUCUCUUUUUCGACCACCGACGCCACCGCCCAUGGUGCCACUCUCUUGUAGCAUGACCCCCAUCUCCUUAUCUUCCUUUCUCCUGAGGUCUUGAUCGUCGAUGAUCGGCCAACGAUCGAAAAAUAUGAGAAAAAGGGGUCGGUCCCCUGUUUUUCAUUUGCUUUCGGAUUCCUGCUGACCAAACCAUAUCGUCGGCCACUUUUGGCUCCACCACCACCUUUACUUGUCAUCGGACCUCCAACCAUGCCACUGCCCUUUGCUGGGGCUCGAGCCAUCGAGCCCUCCCCUUGGUCCCUCCUCUGUUCGGCUAGGAAGGGAAAGAAGAAAAGAAAAGAAAGAAGAAGAAGAAAAGAAAAGGAAAAGAAAAAGAAAAAGAAGAAAAAAA
rnacentral:lncRNA from 1 species